ACUUGGAGCAACUUGAUGAAAACCCUGCUUGAGGAUCUGGUUUGAUGCAUUCUCCUUGGAAGCCUUGGACGUUCCUGGGUUCGCCAAAUAUCCGCUCAUCGAUUGAGGCACCGCCGACGGGGUGCUGCCGUACCCCUCAGCUCCGGGUGUGCUGUCCCCCAAGGCCUCUGGUGUGGAGGGUGCCAGCGUGCAGCGCAGAGUCUCGAGCGUGGCGGCGGGGCGUGAGGAUACAUCCCAGCAUUCUCAUCACUACCAGAGACUCCGUUUUCUGGCCUGUGAAGUUGGGACCAGCCCCGAUGGCCUCGAAGAUUGCACGUGGGCUCAGGUACCACUGGCUGUUGGGGACGAAGGGUGGGGGAGAGAACAGGAGAGGUGCCGGCAGCUGUGCCAGCAGGAACUCCGCAGCCCCAGCCUCAGAUCCGAAUGAGCUCUGUGACCUGGCAAGCAGAGAAGAGGGCUUUUGCACUAAAUUUUAUACUGAAAAUAU
rnacentral:lncRNA from 1 species